rnacentral:rRNA from 1 species
UACGGAGGGUGCGAGCGUUGUCCGGAAUCAUUGGGCGUAAAGGGCGCGUAGGUGGCCCGGUCAGUCUUUGGUGAAAGCGCGGGGCUCAACCCUGCGUCGGCCAGGGAUACUGCCGCGGCUCGAGCACUGUAGAGGCAGGCGGAAUUCCGGGGUGUAGCGGUGGAAUGCGUAGAGAUCCGGAAGAACACCGGUGGCGAAGGCGGCCGCUGGG